rnacentral:tRNA from 1 species
GUCUGUGGCUCAAUGGAAGAGCAUCUGCUUUAGAAGCAGAAGGUGCUGGGUUCAAGCCCCGGGAUCUCCA